rnacentral:lncRNA from 1 species
UAAUAUGCAAGGGGCACAGGGAAGAACUAUGCAGAGGAAACAGAGAGGAACUAACAUGCAGAGGACAGAGAGAGGAACUAACGUGCAGAGGACAGAGAGAGAAUUAAUAGUGCUAAUCGUGCAAAUGGCUUUUGCCUCUUUUCUCUAAUCCCUCCUUUUUGCCCCAACAAUGGAGGAAUCAGGACCAGAGAAGAGGGGAUAUAGUCAUGUGUGUUAAAUGAUUGAGGGGAAAAAAACAGAAAAACUGGAUCAUUGAAGAAAUUAUUCACUCAGACUUCACUCAAGACU